UAUUCAUGAUUGGUUGUGAAUACUUUACAAUGUCUUAAGAUGUCUUAAGAUGGACUAUGAGACAAUGGGGCAUUACACAGUAAUUCAUAAUGCCUUAUAGUGUUAAAAGUUUUCAUCAUAUCACUCAUUAUCACUGCAAUAGGACAUGUUUUGCAAUAUACAGUGGCAAGAAAAAGUAUGUACCCCUGUGGAAUUACCUGGAUUUCUGCAUGAAUUGGUCAUCAAAUUUGAUCUGAUCUUCAUCCAAGUCAGAACAAUAGACAAACAUGGUGUGCUUAAACUAAUAACACACAAAUGAUCACAUCCACAACUACAGAAAACCUUUGGUUGAGGUUAUUGUUGCCAAAGUCCAGUUCUAGCCUCCCUACACUGGCUUCCUGUUAAGGCAAGGGCUGAUUUCAAGAUUUUACUGCUAACCUUCAAAGCAUUACAUGGGCUUGCUCCUACCUAUUUUUCCAAUUUGGUCCUGCCGUACAUACCUACAUGUACGCUACGGUCACAAGACGCAGGCCUCCUAAUUGUCCCUAGAGUUGCUAAGCAAACAGCUGGAGGCAUGGUUUUCUCCUAUAGAGCUCAAUUUUUAUGGAAUGAUCUGCCUACCCAUGUGAGAGACGCAGACUUGGUCUCAACCUUUAAGUCUUUAUUGAAGACUCAUCUCUUCAGUAGUUCAUAUGAUUGAGUGUAGUCUGGCCCAGGAGUGUGAAGGUGAACGGAAAGGCUCUGGAGCAACGAACCACCCUUGCUGUCUCUGCCUGGCCGGUUCCUCUCUCUCCACUGGGAUUCUCUGCCUCUAACCCCAUUACAGGGUCUGAGUCACGGGCUUACUGGUGCUCUUCCAUGCUGUCCCUAGGAGGGGUGCGUCACUUGAGUGGUUUGAGUCGCUGACUUGUUCUUCCUGUCUGGGUUGGCGCCCCCCCCCCCUUGGAUUGUGCCGUGGCGGAGAUCUUUGUGGGCUAUAAUCUUGUCUCAGGAUGGACCUGAGCCAUAGGACCAUGUCUCAGGACUACCUGGCAUGAUUACCCCUUGUUGUCCCCAGUCCACCUGGCCGUGCUGCUGCUCCAGUUUUAGCUGUUCUGCCUGCGGCUAUCGAACCCUGACCUGUUCACCAGACGUGCUACCUGUCCCAGACCUGCUGUUUUCAACUCUCUAGAGACAGCAGGAGUGGUAGAGAUACUCUCAAUGGUCAGCUAUGAAAAGCCAACUGACAUUUAUUCCUGAGGUGCUGACUUGUUGCACCCUCGACAACUACUGUGAUUAUUAUUAUUUGACCAUGCUGGUCUUUUAUGAACAUUUGAACAUCUUGGCCAUGUUCUGUUAUAAUCUCCACCCGGCACAGCCAGAAGAGGACUGGCCAACCCUCAUAGCCUGGUUCCUCUCUAUGUUUCUUCCUAGAUUUUGGCCUUUCUAGGGAGGUUUUCCUAGCCACCAUGCUUCUACUUUCACAUCCUGACCUUAGUUCCUUUUUUAUGUCUCUAUUUUAGUUUGGUCAGGGUGUGAGUUGGGGUGGGCAUUCUAUGUUUUGUUCUGUGUGUUAUAUAUCUAUGUGUUUGGCCUGGUAUGGUUCCCAAUCAGAGGCAGCUGUCAAUUGUUGUCUCUGAUUGAGAACCAUACUUAGGUAGCCUGUUUUCCCACUUUUGUUUGUGGGUGGUUAUUUUCUGUUUAGUGUGUGUUGCACCUAACGGAGCUGUUUUGGUUGUUCUCUUUUGUUACUUUGUAUUUAGUGUUCAGUUCAGUUUAUUAAAAUGUUGAAUACUUACCACA